UACGGAGGGGGCUAGCGUUGUUCGGAAUUACUGGGCGUAGAGCGCGCGUAGGCGGAUCUGCAAGUCGGGGGUGAAAUCCCGAGGCUCAACCUCGGAACUGCCUUCGAUACUGCGGGUCUCGAGUCCGGGAGAGGUGAGUGGAAUUCCUAGUGUAGAGGUGAAAUUCGUAGAUAUUAGGAAGAACACCAGUGGCGAAGGCGGCUCACUGGCCCGGUACUGACGCUGAGGCGCGAAAGCGUGGGGAGCAAACAGG
rnacentral:rRNA from 1 species